rnacentral:lncRNA from 1 species
CUCGCUCCUGAUCGCCCCUGGCUGCGGGUGGUUCUGUCAGAAAUAUCCGCAGGUGGAGCUUGCGGCCUUCAACAUGUGUUUCCACUUUCCCUCUCCUGCCCCAGCCCCAGUCCUCCGUGCCUUCCCCGAGCUGAUCCUGCAUUAGUGCCACGGUCCGCGGGUGUGGACACAGCAAGGAGGAAGCCGAGAAAGUCCUCCCGUCAGGCUUCGGGUUCACCUGGGAGAGGGGACAGGAAGCCAGCCGGGCCAGCCUGAGGCAGGAGCUGGACGGAAUCAGGGCGUUCGUGAACCCAGGUGGCUGGGUGUGGAGGGCCUGGGGCUCCUAGGAGGCCUCUAUGUGGGUGACACUGCCUGGAGACCCGGAGGAGGGCCCAGCUGCUGCGGGGAGCCCGUGGGGCUCAGCCCAGCCGGAAGAGCACUGCAAGUGCAGGCCCCGUGCCCCUCCUGGGGUGCCCGGCCUGGCUGAAUCCCACCUGCCCCACUGAACCAUGACCACAACAGACGAUCAAGCCGCUGCAAUCUCAGGUCUCUGUGACGUGGCAAAGGGCACUGCACACUUUCAGACUGGGAGGGAGAGAGAUGCGCACACAGACGGAGAGAAGCAGAGCAGCCGGAGAGUCGGGGAGGCAGACAUGGGCCGGGCGGGACAGAGGGACAAAGAGAAGCUGAGAAGGAACUGGAGACAAAGGUGCAGCUGGGUCAAGGGGGAGAGGCGGCCAGGGGAGCGGGGAGGGGAGCAGGCCAGGCCAGGCUCCGCUGUGGGACGGUCCUGGAGUUGGCGGUGCAGUGGUUGCUGGGGUUGGACUUGGGGACUGGGGCACGAGCCACGCCUCUGGCCAUCUGCAUCUCAUUUCAAAACAUGACAGUGCACCGAGGGUCUGCAGGCUGCAGACGCACCUGACGCUCUGCAGACGUGUCAAGGUCACUAGCGACAGAAAGAUGGAGGAAUCGGCUCGGGAACAGACUGACCCUGGGUCUUGGAACAGAAAACGGGUCUGGGGGCAAAGGGAGAUGUCUGAGUAAAGCCAGUUUGCUUGGUACAGGUGGCACACACCUGUAAUCCUAGCUGCCGGUAGGCUGAGGCAGGAGGACCACAAGUUCAAGGCCAGCCAUGUCAUAAAAUCAAAUCAAAACUAAAAAGGGCUGAAGGUCUCCAGAGAGAGAGAGAGAGAGAGAGAGAGGCCAAGCCUGCAGGGUGGUGAACAGCACUGCCCCAAAGUGAAUUUCUCCGCUGGGUUGUUUGUGGCUUUGUAAGUGGGUGAAUGGUCUGUGAAAACUCUGUUUGUUUUUAC